GGGCUUGACAUCCCACGAACCUGUCCGAAAAGGUGGGGUGCCCGCAAGGGAGCGUGGAGACAGGUGGUGCAUGGCUGUCGUCAGCUCGUGUCGUGAGAUGUUGGGUUAAGUCCCGCAACGAGCGCAACCCUCACCCCUAGUUGCCACCGGGUUAAGCCGAGCACUCAAGGGGAACUGCCAGCGUCAAGCUGGAGGAAGGCGGGGAUGACGUCAAGUCAUCAUGCCCCUUACGCCCUGGGCUACACACGUGCUACAAUGGCCAGUACAAAGGGACGCGAGACUGCGAAGUGGAGCUAAUCCCAAAAAGCUGGUCUAAGUUCAGAUUGCAGUCUGCAACUCGACUGCAUGAAGGAGGAAUCGCUAGUAAUCGCGUAUCAGCCCGGCGCGGUGAAUACGUUCCCGGGCCUUGUACACACCGCCCGUCACACCACGAAAGCUGUCUGUACUCGAAGUCGCUGAG
rnacentral:rRNA from 1 species